AGAAUUGAUCUUGGUCAGGACGAACGCUGGCGGCGUGCCUAACACAUGCAAGUCGAGCGAGGAGAUUCCUUCGGGAUGAUCCUAGCGGCGGACGGGUGAGUAACACGUGGGCAACCUGUCUCAUAGAGAGGAAUAGCCUUCCGAAAGGGAGAUUAAUACCUCAUAACAUUGCAGUUUCGCAUGGAACAGCAAUUAAAGGAGUAAUCCGCUAUGAGAUGGGCCCGCGGCGCAUUAGCUAGUUGGUGAGGUAACGGCUCACCAAGGCGACGAUGCGUAGCCGACCUGAGAGGGUGAUCGGCCACAUUGGGACUGAGACACGGCCCAGACUCCUACGGGAGGCAGCAGUGGGGAAUAUUGCACAAUGGGGGAAACCCUGAUGCCAGCAACGCCGCGUGAGUGAUGACGGCCUUCGGGUUGUAAAGCUCUGUCUUCAGGGACGAUAAUGACGGUACCUGAGGAGGAAGCCACGGCUAACUACGUGCCAGCCGCCGC
rnacentral:rRNA from 1 species